rnacentral:rRNA from 1 species
AAUUUGAAAUCUGGCCCUUUCAGGGUCCGAGUUGUAAUUUGUAGAGAGUGCUUCGGGGGAGACCGCGGUCUAAGUCCAUUGGAACAUGGCGUCCCAGAGGGUGAGAAUCCCGUAUGUGACCGUGGCUCGAGCCCAUGUGAAGCCUCUUCGACGAGUCGAGUUGUUUGGGAAUGCAGCUCUAAAUGGGUGGUAAAUUUCAUCUAAAGCUAAAUAUUGGCUGGAGACCGAUAGCGCACAAGUAGAGUGAUCGAAAGAUGAAAAGCACUUUGGAAAGAGAGUUAAACAGUACGUGAAAUUGUUGAAAGGGAAGCGCUUGCAACCAGACCUGCCCGUAGGCGAUCACCCGCUGUUCUCAGCGGUGCACUCGUUCUGCGAUCAGGCCAGCAUCGGUUCUGGCGGUCGGAUAAAGGCCUUGGGAAUGUAGCUUCCCUUCGGGGGAGUCUUAUAGCCCUCGGUGCAAUGCGACCAGCCGGGACCGAGGACCGCGCUUCGGCUAGGAUGCUGGCGUAAUGGUUGUAAGCGACCC